AUAGUAACCAGUACAGGUGCUGCUUCCACGCCACGAGGACAACAGUAACGGGUACAGGUGCUGGUCCCACACCAUGGGGACUACAGUAACGGGUACAGGUGCUGGUCCCACGCCAUGGGAGCAACAGUAACUGGUACAGGUGCUGGUCCCAUGCCAUGGGAGCAACAACAACCGGUACAGGUGCUGGUCCCAUGCCAUGGGGACUACAGUAACCAGUGAAGGUGCUGGUCCCACACCACGGGGACUACAGUAACCGGUACAGGUGCUGGUCCCACGCCACGGUGACUACAGUAACCAGUACAGGUGCUGGUCCCACACCACGGGCACUACAGUAACCGGUACAGGUGCUGGUCCCACACCACGGGGACUACAGUAACUGGUACAGGUGCUGGUCCCACGCC